GCUCCUCACUCUUAGCAUCACAUUUUUCCGCCGUCCUCUCCUGAGUCAUUGUGUUGCACCGGUCGUCUUCCUGUGAGGUUUUCAGCGGUUUUCUGACUCCUGUCAGGUCCCUGUGGUGAACAUAUUCGACGACAUUUGAGAUGACGGAAGUGGCUUCAAGCCGCCCUGAGAUGACAGCGCUGGCCCCUCCUCCCGCACUGCUCAACACCAGUAGGAACUCAUCUCCUUCUCGAUCGCCGUCCACUCACAGCAGCCCCUCAGCCUCCCGGCGGCAUUUAGCAAAAGAGCGAGGGGAGGAUAGAGAGAAGACACAAGGUAUGAGUAACUCUCCAGCUGGUGGAACUCAGUGUGGUGUGUCCUGUUCAUCUGUCACUGGCACACACACACACACACACACACACACACAGACACACAGACACACAGACACAGCGCUUUGUGGUCGAGGAAGUGUUCAGAUCCUUUGAGUAUAUGUUUUAUUUAUAACUUCUUCAGAAAGAAAAGAGACAAGGUGAACAAACAGGAACAUUACACGCCUCGCUCGUCCUUCCUGUCACAUUUUAAAGUAUAUUAGAUCAAAUGUUGAAGUGAAAAUGCAUUGAGUCGUCAUGUGGGUCUCUUCAGUGCUGCGAUUUAGUCAAUCAUGGGUUGCUAUAUCUGUUAAAACCUACAUCUUAUGUCAAAGAUGUCUACUGCGCACGCUAACCAGCUAGCUCCAGACCGUCCUGUGUCGAAUACCAGUUUGUAUCACAAGAGGUGAUAGUCUGAUAGUGAGCUUAAUCACCUAACUCAUCGUAAAACCCACUUCAUUCAAGCUCGAUAGAAAAAAUAAAAACUCACCAAAACACGGAGUAGUUCACGGAGUAAGGUGUGAAAAUAUUAGGAUAAGGAUUGUAGCGGUUGUCGGUCACUGCCACCUAUUCGUUUGGAUCCACCUUCGAAAUUCUGUCAAUGUUUUAUGAACUAUACCUUUAAAUCUGUCUUCUCAGGGUCCUAGAAUCAUUUUGUUUUCAGGGUUUUUUAUAUUUGAUAACCAACAGUAGAGAGUUGACAGGAAAUGAAAAUAGAGAGAGACGUUCAAUUAUUAAACAAAAGCCUUCGACUCGAGGUCGACAUUUUCAUCUUGACUCUGCAGCAGCACUCGCAGCUCACUGUGUGUCAGCUGGUUUGUGCUAAUUUAAUUGAAAAUUUGCUUGCGAAAAUGCACCACUGAGUCACGAUACUGAUGUGAAGAAUGCCUGAGGCAGGGCCUGCUUUAACAUGCAACCUCAGGACCCUGACAUGAAGGGUCCCUGUGUCAGAAUCUGUUAUUAAGACCUUUAUUACUUCAGCUUUGUCACACACCCACUAAUUUUUGCUUCGGGGCUCCUAAAAGGUUAUUCUAGCCAUGUGGUGAAGUAACAAGUACAGUAUUUCCCUCUGAAAUGAAGUGGAGAAGAAGUCUAAAAUCUCCCAUAAAAGACAGAAAAUACUUUAAUCCCU
rnacentral:lncRNA from 1 species